UUUUCCAGGCAAGAGUACUGGAGUGAGGUGCCAUUGCCUUCUCUGAUUGAAAGGACUAUUUAUCCUUUUAAAUGUAUCCAGAAAGUCAGCUCAUUU
ensembl:snoRNA